rnacentral:rRNA from 1 species
GACGAACGCUGGCGGCGUGCUUAACACAUGCAAGUCGAACGGAAAGGCCUGCUUUCCCUUGUGGAUUGCGGGUACUCGAGUGGCGAACGGGUGAGUAACACGUGAGUGAUCUUCCCCCAACUUGGGUAUAAGCCUGGGAAACUGGGUCUAAUUCCCGAUAGGACUGCAGGGUGGUGCCUGUGGUGGAACACGAUUUUCUAGUGGUUGGGGAUGAGCUCGCGGCCUAUCAGCUUGUUGGUGGGGUAAUGGCCUACCAAGGCGGCGACGGGUAGCCGGCCUGAGAGGGUGGACGGCCACAUUGGGACUGAGAUACGGCCCAGACGCCUACGGGAGGCAGCAGUGGGGAAUAAUGCACAAUGGGCGGAAGCCUGAUGCAGCGACGCCGCGUGGGGGAUGACGGCCUUCGGGUUGUAAACUCCUUUCGACCGCGAGGAAGCCACCUGGUUGGAAGGGUGGUGACGGUAGUGGUAGAAGAAGCACCGGCUAACUACGUG